AUUGAACGCUGGCGGCAGGCCUAACACAUGCGAGUCGAGCGGAUGAAGGGAGCUUGCUCCUGGAUUCAGCGGCGGACGGGUGAGUAAUGCCUAGUAAUCUGCCUGGUAGUGGGGGAUAACGUCCGGAAACGGGCGCUAAUACCGCAUACGUCCUGAGGGGGAAAGUGGGGGAUCUUCGGACCUCACGCUAUCAGAUGAGCCUAGGUCGGAUUAGCUAGUUGGUGGGGUAAAGGCCUACCAAGGCGACGAUCCGUAACUGGUCUGAGAGGAUGAUCAGUCACACUGGAACUGAGACACGGUCCAGACUCCUACGGGAGGCAGCAGUGGGGAAUAUUGGGCAAUGGGCGAAAGCCUGAUCCAGCCAUGCCGCGUGUGUGAAGAAGGUCUUCGGAUUGUAAAGCACUUUAAGUUGGGAGGAAGGGCAGUAAGUUAAUACCUUGCUGUUUUGACGUUACCAACAGAAUAAGCACCGGCUAACUUCGUG
rnacentral:rRNA from 1 species